rnacentral:lncRNA from 1 species
CUUCUUUGCUCUGGUGUCAAGGACAUAAGACUGGUUUCAGGACAAACACAGGAUAAAGUGAUGGGAGCCAGCCUCAGAUAAGUACUUCAAAAUACUCUACAUGAACUUGACCAACAGAUUUAAAGGGUAGCAUUCCAAGACAAAAAAGGCCCAGAGGCCACACCAAUGGAUGGACAGGAGUUUUCUUGAAAUCACCUGAUGUUUCCAAUUUAGCAUAGAUAAAAACCUUUGUGGUAUUAUGUUACUGACAUUUUGGGUUUUAUUUGUUAUGAUAGCAUCAGCUGUCUGCCUAAAAUAUAUUCUGACUGUUAAUCCAUGUAAGACCUACCAUGUUGUCUGGCACCUAAUUGCCACACAAAUAUUCUUUGAGAUGAAUGGAUUAAAGAAAGUUUUACUAAAUAUAUUUAUCAUAAUGUUAUAGCCUGAUUCCCAUUGCAGGCAUGGUCUAAAAAUAUAGUUUUUAAGUUAAAGAAGGUAGAUCAUAAGAGGAAUUUAGCAAAUAUUUGAUGAAUAAAAGAAGAUAAAAAUGAGAAAAUUUCACAGUCAACUCCUGGAAAGUUUUUUUUAAAAGAUUUUCAUUUUUAGAAUAAGGUACAAAAUUAAACAUGCUCAUUAAAAUGUUUUCAAAAAUGUUUGAGACAAAUAGAAAAUAUUUUUCCUAUUGUGCUACUGCUCUAAUAUAACUUAUUUAUAUUUUUGUGUGUUUUUCUUCUAUUCCAGUUUAUAAUAUAAAUGGAGUCACACAGAAGAUGUCUGGCCUACUGUUCCCAUAUUCUUACACAGUCUGCUUAACUAUAAUUUUUAAUGUUUGCAUCAAAAUCCAUUUAGAGGAUGAUUUAUUAAAUCUUUUUUCUCUCUUGAACAUUUAGGUUAUUUCCAAUUUUUGUUUUCAUUCAUGAUGCUUUGAUAGACCUGUUUGUUUAAGAAGAGCUUCUGUAUCUAGAAUAAUUUUCUUAAGGUAGAGUUGAAAAAGGCUUGGUAAUAAUCCCAAUAUCUCAGGCUGCAGUUCAAUUUUGUUCAACUCAGUUCAGGUGAGCCUUUGUAUUAGUUCAGGAGCCUUUUUUCCCAAUCCAAUGCUAAGCCUUGAAAUGGGUCUUUGAGCUUUAUCAUUUGUGUGAUACUCUAAAACACAUAUACUUGCCAUAAAAAUAUAUAAAAAGUUUUAUAUCAUCUCCCCAGAUACAGUAUCUUAUAUAAUGCUGUAACUGGCCAAACAUCAUACACACAUCACCUCCCCACACACCCACACACCUUUGGGCAUUAUGAGACAUGCAAACAUGUCUUGCUAGAAAAAUGAUGUAUGAGGGGAGAUCUCUCUUGAUCCUGAGACCUGAGACAGCUCAGCAAAUGCAGUUGCAAUAAGAUAUGAGACUAUCUUUAUCCUGGUAAUCUUUCUCUUUGGAAUAGGAAGAGAGAGCUGAGCCACAUCUUAUCCACUCCCAUGUCACCAAAUCAGUGGCAAAAUAGAAAUGAUUGCAUUGCCUCUUUGGAUUUUUUUGGAAUCUGAUGAGCUGCUAAUAAAGAUUUAACCUGUGG